AAUGGAGUGCCUGACAAAAGGGUUAUUUUGAUAGAAUAAAUCAUAUAGUUUUUCUAUUUCCAUUG
rnacentral:tRNA from 1 species